UUAAAGCUUCUAUUUUCAUUCUGUAGUGUGAUUCCUAAUUUUAGUGAAAAGUUCUUUGGAGAACUAUAAAAUCAGACUGGAAGCAAAUUACAUGAGAAAGAAGAAAAGACAGCACCAGAAGUCAAAAGUUAAGACUGAAGUUGUGUUAUAAGAAGAGCAACAGUGGGAGUAUAGAGAGUAACUUCAAAGUAAAAAAAAUAAUUCUAAAGUCUUGGGAAAAUCAUGAACAAUUUCCUGAGUAUCCAACCCAUGCUUUCCUGACAUAUGUAAAGCUGCAAAUUUCUCCUAUCAUUACAUGACUGAGCUGGAUUCCUAUUUACCAUGGUCUGAAACGGUCGUUUGAGAAACUUACAUGGAUUAUUAUUGCAGUUCAGGUCAGCUGUCCUGGAUGUGCUUCCUCACGGCUUUGUGUGCACCUGCUCGCUGGCAGAGACUGGGAAACUGAAAAGGCC